rnacentral:rRNA from 1 species
UACGAGGGGGGCGAGCGUUGUUCGGAAUUAUUGGGCGUAAAGGGUGCGUAGGCGGCCUGACAAGUCUGAUGUGAAAUCCCUGGGCUCAACCCAGGGCCUGCAUCGGAACUGUCGGCUUGAGUAUGGGAGAGGUGAGUGGAAUUUCCGGUGUAGCGGUGAAAUGCGUAGAUAUCGGAAGGAACACCUGUGGCGAAAGCGGCUCACUGGACCAUUACUGACGCUGAGGCACGAAAGCUAGGGGAGCAAACAGG